GACGAACGCUGGCGGCGUGCCUAAUACAUGCAAGUCGAGCGGACUUUCAAGAAGCUAGCUUUUUGAGAGUUAGCGGCGGACGGGUGAGUAACACGUGGGCAACCUGCCUGUAAGACGGGGAUAACUCCGGGAAACCGGGGCUAAUACCGGAUAAUAUCUUUCUUCGCAUGAAGGAAGGUUGAAAGGCGGCGCAAGCUGCCGCUUGCAGAUGGGCCCGCGGCGCAUUAGCUAGUUGGGGAGGUAACGGCUCACCAAGGCGACGAUGCGUAGCCGACCUGAGAGGGUGAUCGGCCACACUGGGACUGAGACACGGCCCAGACUCCUACGGGAGGCAGCAGUAGGGAAUCUUCCGCAAUGGACGAAAGUCUGACGGAGCAACGCCGCGUGAGCGAAGAAGGUCUUCGGAUCGUAAAGCUCUGUUGUCAGGGAAGAACAAGUACCGUUCGAAUAGGGCGGUACCUUGACGGUACCUGACCAGAAAGCCACGGCUAACUACGUGCCAGCCGCCGCAGUAA
rnacentral:rRNA from 1 species